GUCUUGCUCCUUUCCUAUUAAUCGAUGUGAAACAGAGUGAAAAGAUCUAAGAAACGUUUGAUGUAGCCCUGGAAGGAGGCAAAAAUUUCAUGCUGAUUUUUGCCGUGUUCGUCUUCUCACUGUUAACUUUCCAGUAAAUAUUCUCUAUUCAAUCCUUGCUUCUUUUGUUUGACAACUACGCUUCCAGAGACCGUAGACAGGAAGAGGAGGAGCCUCUGUCUUCCUCAAUCCGAACUGCAGUUCCCCAUUCGUUUUCUCCCUUUCGGAUUCCCUCUUCAUUGCCUCCCGAUCUCAUAACCAUCUUUCCUAAAGCUCAUUCAUUACUGCAUGAAUCAAAAGCCAAGCAACAGUUUCAACUUCCGGUGCUCUCGAUUCUUCCAUUCAUCGCACUUACAUAGACUAAAUGAUCCCUGCAACCAUGGCAAAUAAAACGUCCUCAUCAACCAGAAAGGCAAGACGGCGUGCGUUAUUAUAAAACAAUGUUGGCCCUCGAUUUCGGCUAAUUUCAUUUCUGGGAAUUACGUGAGUAUCAGUCAAGCGUUUUCAACAAAGUAGGAGAAAAAAAACGAAUGAUGGUGCUCAAUGCCUCACAGAGAUUCUGUAAGAAGAUUUAAAAGGGCAAGAAAGUGAGUAAGAAGAUUAAUUACAGAUUCACUGAUCUGUGCUUCGUGUGGUUGAUGUGGAAAUUGGUAUUCAUAUCUGAUUAUAAAAUUCAUGUCGCUUGAAUGCUUAUGACUGAGCCGGCCAAAAGUGAAAGCAAGGCGGAGUAAGACAUAGAUUCUGCAAUGCUCUCCUCUCUGCCAGAGAAGAAAUUGCACAGAUUGAAGAAGUUAAUGCAGAUGUGCAGAAACAACAUCCUUAAGCGUAUGUUUUCAGAGAGCUCCAAAUCCUCCAUCUACGACCCUUAUCAGUUACUUGAUCAAACUUGAGAUCACAAAUACACGCAUCAACUUUACCGACAACGCUUUCAAGUUCCAAAGCCAUCCCAGAUAUAUCGGCGAGAAAAGAAAAGAAGUUUGCAGCAACUGCCUCUAUGAAAACUGAUUUAGAGAAGAAGAAAAUUGAGCAAUGUAAGCUAGAAAAGUGGAGGAAUCACAUAAGAGCAAGGAAAUCUUUUCCACAAGAGCAGGCCGCCAGAGAAAAAGUUGCUGAUCGAGCUAUUUAUUUUUUAAAUUGCAGAACCCUUUUGUUUUUUCAAAUAUUUUGAUUACAGUCUUUUCAUUAUUUAUGCUUAACUGCUUGAGGAACUAAGACAGGGACUUGCCAAGCAAGGUACAAGGUUAUUUGAAUAUAAAAGUCCAACAGUGCUGGUGCAUGUGGAACGGUACAAUAGACUAUGGAGAAUUCAUGAUAGAAGCAAUAGUGCACAUAAACAGAUUCACGGAGUUCAAUUGCUAACACAGACACAAUGAAAAAAAACGUACAACUUUGUUCUAAACUUCUAAGUCGUGGUCUCUCUUAACAUCUUGAACUCUUAAUUUUGUCUUGAGUCAAAGAGAGAGAUUGAUUGCUCCCAUGUCUCAUCUGUUGAGAAGAAAAACUGUCAUGGCUCCCGAGAAAUCCUCUCAGCCGCCGGACAUGGAGACAAAGUUGGAUCUAGAGCCAGAGAGUCAAAGGUAGGAGGUUAUCUUGAUCCAGCAAAAUUAAUCAAAAAGUUCGUGGAACUUUUUUUUUUUAUUAAAAAAAUCGUGGAACUUCGCAUACAAACUUUGAAAGCAAGAUCUCAGUCUCAGCCAGCACAACAAUGAAGUAGGAAUUUUACCACAAAAAAAAACAAUGAAGUAGGAAACCAGCAUUCCUCCUGCGAGCUCCCAUCCUCCAAAGGCUAAUGACCAAACUGUUGACUCUGGCCAAAACAACAAGUUCCCCGUUAUAAGCGAAAAACUUAUCAACAACGUCAUCGAUUACAGGAUGCUUUUAUUGUGAUUUUUAUUGUUUUGUCCUUUAGUUUAGGGUUAAAUUAUCUGCUAUGUUUCUAGAAACAAUAUUUUAAAUCCCAUUCUGGAUAUCGUUUCGGCAUAA